ensembl:lncRNA
ACAUCACAACUAUGAAAUAACACACAUGGAAUCAUGUAGUAACCAAAAAAGUGUUAGAUUUUAUAUUUGAGAUUCUUCAAAGUAGCCACCCUUUGCCUUGAUGACAGCUUUGCACACUCUUGGAAUUCUCUUCAUUGUCUGGGUUAGGGGAGAGUUUGGCCAGCCAGAAUUUCCUUGUCUCAUCGUGCUCUAGCGACUCCUUGUGGUGGGCUGGGCACAUUGGUGCGGCUGGCUUCCUGAUUAAGCGAGUAGUGUGUCAAGACGCAGUGAAGCUUGGCAGGGUUGUGUUUCGGAGGACGCAUGGCUCUCGACCUUCUCUCCUGAGACGAGAUUGUAACUAUAAAUUGGAUAUCACAAAAUUGUGUAGAAAAAGGGGGUAAAGUAAAUAAAAAAAGUAAUAAUAAUAGAGUGUAAAGCUGUAUACAGUAGUAUAUAGAGAGUGUAAAGCAGUAUAAAGAAGUAUAUAAAGAGUGUAAAGAAGUAUACAGUAGUAUAAAGAGAGUAAAACAGGUGACAGUAGUAUAUAGAGAGUGUAAAGCAGUAUAAAGAAGUAUAUAAAGAGUGUAAAGAAGUAUACAGUAGUAUAAAGAGAGUAAAACAGGUGACAGUAGUAUAUAGAGAGUGUAAAGCAGUAUAAAGAAGUAAAUAAAGAGUGUAAAGAAGUAUACAGUAGUAUAAAGAGAGUAAAACAGGUGACAGUAGUAUAUAGAGAGUGUAAAGCCGUAUACAGUAGUAUAUAUACAGAACACCUAAUAUUAAGUUGCACCCCUUUAUUCCCUCAGAUCAGCCACAAUUCUUGGACUCUACAAGGUGCCGAAAGUGUUCCACAGGGAUGCUGACACGUGUUGACUCCAAUGCCCACAGUUGUAUCAAGUUGGCUGAAUGUCCUUUAGCUGGUGGACCAUUCUUAAUACACACGGGAAACUGUUGAAAUUUUUAAAAAACAGCAGCAUUGCAGUUCUUGACACACUCAAACCGGUGCACCUGGCACCUAGUACCAUACCCCAUACAAGGCACUCAAAUAUUUUAUCUUGCCCAUUCACCCUCUGAAUGGCACACAUACACAAUCCAUGUCUCAAUUGUCUCAAGGCUUGAAAAUCCUUCCUCCCCUUCAUCUACACUGAUGAUUGAAGUGGAUUUAACAUGUAACAAAAAUAAGAGAUCAUAGCUUUCACCUGAUCAGUCUAUGCCAUAGAAAGAGCAGCUGUUCCUAAAGUAUAAAACAGUAUACAGUAGUAUGUCUGACACCACACCUGACUUGUCUUUGCCAUCUGUGACUGACCUUUAGCAACAACUGAUACAGUACAUUGGUUAUUGGUGUGUGUGUUUGAAUCAUGGUUGUCCUCAAUUGAUGUUCAACUACUACGCUAUGGAGGUUCUAUGAUUGUCUGAGAUGGCGAAGUGCCCAGGUGAAGAGCUCUCUCCUGGUGAAGGGCUUUCUCCCUGGCUAACCAUCGAUGCCCCCCUCCUCUCAAGUCAUACCAGAGACUGCCUUUCUCCCUGGCUAACCAUCGAUGCCCCCCUCCUCUCAAGUCAUACCAGAGACUUCCUUUCUCCCUGGCUAACCAUCGAUGCCCCCUCCUCUCAAGUCAUACCAGAGACUGCCUUUCUCCCUGGCUAACCAUCGAUGCCCCCCUCCUCUCAAGUCAUACCAGAGACUGCCUUUCUCCCUGGCUAACCAUCGAUGCCCCCCUCCUCUCAAGUCACAGCAGACUGCCUUUCCAUACUACCUCUGUCUGAAGCUGACUAGACACCAUUCACAUUCCAUUUUGAUAAUUAGUUGUACCUGUUUUUUUUUGUUUUUUUUGCUUUGAGAUUACAUUUUGUAUUCGAAAGUGCUAUAUAAGCGAAAUAACUUAUUUAUUGUGCUGUGUUGUUGUUCCCAGGUGAUCCUGAAGGGCGAGCGCGGGCGUGGCCGGAGCGGAGAGAUGGCUGUGGAUGACAUCACCUUGAGAAAAGGUUCCUGCACCGAGGAGCACAAUCUGAGAAGACAUUAAUACACACAGCAGAGAGCGACAGAGAUGGAGAGAGAAAGAGAGAAGUGGAGAGAAAGAGCCCAGGGAGGAGCAGACUCUGAUUGGACCCCCAUAGAGGGUCCAAGAGUACCUCUGGGAAGAAGGGGCAUUUCUCUCUGCCUGUCCACCAAUAAGAAGACCGCACCAAACCUGUCCACCAACAAGAGGACUGCAACAAACCUGUCCACCAAUAACUAGACUGCACCAAACCCUUCCACCAAUAAGAAGACUACCCCAAACCACAGGGGAGAAAGAGGGUCCACCAUGUGAUCCCCCACCACCCCUACCCACUCUCUCCAACUCUCCAUCACCCGGUUCCUCACUAUUGACCUGUGCUUGCCCCUGGUAACCCUGGAAACGUCCCUGUGAGCACUGCCACCCAGACAAUCACAUCGCCCAAAGGCCUCCAUCGAUGUUUCAUCAUCUUGCUUUCAUAUUUUAGUCUGAAGCCAUAUCUGAUUGUUUGCUAUCCAUCAUUUAGAUUGUAUAACUGUUUUAACCUGCGUCGUGUUCAUUAGGUACCAAACAGGGAAAAACUGACUGAAACAGGGAGGGACUACGAGGGCUUGUCCAAUAAGAAACAAUUAUUCACAUUUUCCGUUGCAGAGCAUUUUAAAACAUUUCCCGUUCUGUGCCCUAAUGAACAGGACCCAGGGACAACAAGAGAAGACACCAACCUGUAAUGAUAAUGGGGAGAAUGAAAAAUCCAAACCCUGAUCCGUUUAUUUAGACAAAUCAAAUUCUGUAAAACUAGUGCUGAGGCACUCGUAUGUUACUAUUGCUACAACCGUAUGCAAGUUCACAUGAUAAGCCAUUAUUAUCUGAAUUCUGAAUUUUAAGAUUGACCGUGAUUUCUCUCUAUGUGCUUUGUUCUAUUAAGUGCAAGUUGGUUGUACUGGCGAUGACAGUAUCAACGAUUUCUGGCUCUCACCCAGUGUAUUAUUGUAAAUGUAGUCGUGUGUACAUAUUCUAGAACACUUUCAUGCUCAUAUUAAGCUGUGUGGUUUAUACGUUUAUGUAAAUUCAGACUUAUGUAUUAAUUGGAGUGGAAAAAUGUAUGGUUUUCGUUUGUUUCUAUAAUUCAAUAUCAAUAUAUGGAUAAACAUUUGAACCUUGUGGGAAUACAAGGCUGUUUACAGUACAUAAAUGAUCAUAUCUGUUCAUGCUUUAUGUUGAAUUACUAGAUAAGUUCCUCAGUCGUUUUUAACGUUUCGCAGUACACAGUUGCAUUAUUGUGCCAUCUGCCAUAAUGAAGGUUCUGAUCUGUUGGAAAUUCAAACUGUACUAUAUGCAUGGAUCAGUUCACCAAAUUCUCAUAAUAUACUCAGCCAAUGAUGUAAAUAAAAGGACAUUGACUGAUA